CAAUUUAUACUUUAACUAAUCAUAUAAAUCUAGUUAUCAAUUGCUUUAAUUUCUGUUUGUCAAAAUAAAUAUUAUUUAGUUUUUCAUAGUAUUUCAUAUAAUUCUAUGUUCAAUAUAAUGAAGGACGAUCAGGUACAAUUCAAUGUACAAUUUGUGAGAACAAUUGAACGUUACCCUUGUCUAUACAAUCGCCAGUGUAAAGAAUAUUCCAAUGAAACAAAACAAGACGAUACGUGGAAAGAGAUUGCAAAGAAUUUUGAUGCCACAGUAUUUGAAUGCAAAGAAAGAUGGAAGAACCUCAGAUCUUGCUAUACGAGGCAUUUAAAACUGAAAGCUACAACAGGAUAUCAAAAAAGCCAUAUUAUUUAGCAGAGCAUUUAGACUUUCUCAAACCUUUUACAAAAUCUCGAAAUCAAAUUGGUAACCCAUCUGAACUGCUGCCGCGGCCAUUUGUGCCCUUAAUUAUGAAAGUGGACUAAGUCACUCCUAAAAAUGGCAUCAAAUCUAGCCUAAAAAUAAUUUAUUAUUUAAGGGGUAAAGUUUAUUUGAAAGCGAAAUUGCAGUAAAUAAACUUCUUUAUUGCUCCUCUAGCGAUUUCAUAAAAGAAAUAUAAUUAAAUCGUUAUAAGAAAGUUAUUAUGAAAGUUUUUCUUCAAACAAUGCAAAAAGUGACUUAGUCCACUUUCAUAAUCAUGGGCACAUUUAUUCUUAAAAAUGAAGAUGAAAAAGAAGACUUAGAAGACUCAGAAAAUUAUCAAGAUCAAGAUAACAACCUAACCAACGUAUAUCGACUUCUUACACUUCAAAACCGAGUGUUCAAAAUAAAAGACGUUGGACCGAUUUUCCAGACGAAGAUAGGAGUAGUAUUAAAAAGCAUAAGACCGAACCAGAAGAGGAUUUCGAUUUGUGUUUUUUCAAAAGUAUACUUCCUGAUAUGAGACAGAUGAAUCUCGAUCAAAAACAGCGUUUUAAAGUGGGAAUUUUGAAUUUUGCAGCGACAAUACUUAACGAAAAAGCUUCAACUUUAUCAGAUUAUCA